rnacentral:lncRNA from 10 species
UACCCUCAGGUGACUACAGAUGUGUUAACACCCAGCAUGUUCCGGUAGGAGACUUUCUGGAUGGGGAAGAUUUCCAGGAAUUGGCAACAAGCUCAUUUCACUGGUGGGUUUGCUGAAGCAUUAUCACAAGACAGUCAGAAUGACUGAUGAGUGCUCUUCAGGUGUGAAUCAUGGCAAUACAGUGAAAGACAGUGAUUUACUGCUUUUGAGGGCGUGCAUGUAUAUGAUUAACGGAUGGAAGUGCAGGACUCCAAGAUUUACUUCCUUCCCUUUCCAGCAGAAUUACCUGAGACGAGUAAAAUCUACUGGUGGAGUCACUCCAUUAUUCUUAUCUGUGGAGAUCUAGAUCUUGAUUUGAAAGUUUCUGAGAAAAUCUUCAGCUCAGACUUGAGGGUCAACUUUACCAGCUGAAGGAUCUGCAUUUACUGCUCAACCACAUCUAAUUUGAUGUCCUCUGCAGAUUUAAAAUGUGUGCCUUCUUUUCCGUCACCAAGUCAUCCCUGGGUUACUACUGAACAUCCUUCUCAAUUCCCCCCGACCCAUGGAUGGCUGUUCUCCAUUGUCUGUUUCACCAGAUGUCCUCAAAACAAACAGACAGAAGAAGGAAGUGGCUAAUGGAGCUGUGGAGUCCAAGUGUGACUGCCAAGAGGAAUCCAGCAAAGCCAAAAAGCCCAAGCAUGUAGCCCUGCCCGAAGCACGCCACACGCAUGGAAAACCCAGAGGAAAUGAGUGAGGAUCAAUGGGAAGAAGAGAGCCAGCCAGGUUCGAUGCCUUCUCCAUCCGUCAGUGAGGGUGUGGAGAGCCUGCAGGCGUGUGCCUCCCUCUGUAACUUGCUAUUCCUUGUGUAAUGUCAAGUGGAAGUGUGAAGCACCACAAACUGCUCUGAGCAGAGCCCACUUCCCUUCACCCACGGAGAGCGUGAAGCAGUUACACCAACAUCAAUCAAGGAAAACCCACAGGCUGAGCUCACACGGUUGAAGCAGGAAGUUGAAGAUUUGUCCAGGAGCAGAUAGCUGAAGAGAGAGAGAGAGAAGAGAGAACGGCUUACAGCUCAGGCUCACAGGCAGAAGGAAUUUUCCUUGUCUUGGAUGAGACUUUUGACUUGGACUUUUGGGUUAAGUUCUGGAGACCAGAAGGCCAAAAUCAAAAGUAUGGGCAGGCUUGAUUUCUUUAGAAGACUCCAGCGGAGAACUGUGUCUCCUUGCUUCUGAUUCUACAUCUCCAUCCAUGGGCCACUGUUUCAGCAACCUCAGCCAGUGCAACACAACCUCAGCCAAGAAGAGUAUGCAGAGAAAGGAGUCCCCUACCUGCCACAAAACUGUUGUCUGAAAACUGUCUCAUAUUGUCUCAAGUUGUCAUUCAUUGUGAAUUAGACCUGUUUAACAUGUAAUCUGCAACAUGCUUCACUGUCUAAUUUUCCAGAGCCCCUCAUAUAAGGAACUGUAUUAUUGGUAUAAUCAUCAUGGUGAAGAAGUUGGUAUGUGGGGGAGAGAUGACAGAAACAGAGAGUAAGUCAGAGCUGGCUGCCUGACAGAUAAAAAGGAAAUGACCAAAAAAAAAAAAAAAGACACAGAAGAAUACUUUGUUGUCCACACAGAAAAGGGAAGUGUAGGUAAGACAGCAGUAGACUAAGAUUCUUAAGACUCAAGUUCUAGUCUUAUUUAUUAGCUAUGGGAGGCCUUGAGGGAGUUCUAGAAUUAAGUGAUCUCUCUUUAUAAAAUAGGAACAGUAAUAACUUCCUGGCUAACUCCCUGGCUGUCUCACAAUGCUGUAGUAGUAAGAAAUAAUUUUAUAAUUAAAGACUAUUUUAGGGCUGAUUACAUUUUUGGGCAGUGGCUCAUACAUGUAAUUUCAACAUUUUGGGAGGCCAAGGUGGGCGGAUUGCUUGAGCCCAGGAAUUCAAGACCAGGCUGGGCAACACAGACCUUGUCACUACAAAAGAAAAAAACAUUAGCUAGGCGUGGUGAUGUAUGCCUGUGGUCCCAGCUACUCAGGAAGCUGAGACAGGAGGAUCACCUGAGCCUGGGAGGUCGAGGCUACAGUGAGCCAUGAUCACACUACUGCACUCCAGCCUGGGAAACAGAGUGAGACUCUGUCUCAAAAAAAAAAAAAAAGGAAUAUUUUACACUUCAAGGUUCUAUACAAAUGUAAAAUAUCAUUCUAUUACUUAUUUAUAAUGCUGAUUAUUCUUUAAAUGACUUUAAAAUGUUAAUCUCUGCUUGAGCCUACGGAGAAGUAUGUAACAAAUUUGUGAAGGAUUGGCAUUAAACAUAGUCAAAAUAAAACAUAGAAAUUAUGGUAAAUAAUUUAACUGGUAAAAUAAUCUAAGUGGUAGUUCUCAGGUAAGUGGAAAUUCGAUUAGCUGAUUGUUUAGGAUUCUUGGUUAUAAGUGACAGAGACCUGACUAAAAGUACAUGAAGCACAUAACUGAGAAGGUUGUGGUAUGGCUCAGCAGAAAUGGGAAAAUCUUGGGACUGGUUCGUGUUUUAUUUACAUUAUCUUUGUUCCCAGGCAGUCUCUGCAUGUAAGUGGCAAAGAUGACUGUCUGAAAAUAUAUACCUACUUUUUUAAAGGGCUAUCUCAAGCCAUUCUGGAGAAGCACCAAAAGCCACUUUGCUUAUACUGGGAGAAUAGUUUGCUUUCCCUAAUUUGUGAUGAGUGAAACACUGAACAGAGACAUAGAAUAAUAUUCUGUAGUUCAGGGUUGGUGUAAUAUGGCCAGUGGGCGGAAUCUGGUCCUCAGACUGAUUUUGCAAAUAAUCUUAUAGAAACACAGCAACACCCAUUCAUUACAUGUUGUUUAUGGUUGCUUUGGGGUUACAAUGGCAGAGUUGAGUAGUUGUGACAGAGAUCACUAGGCUCACCACAUCUGAGAUAUGUACUGACUGACCCUGUACAGAAAGUUUGCUGCUCUUAGAGGAAUGUGUGUUUCUAGUGUCAGCAAUAAACUUCUUGGAUUUGUUUUGUUUUCUCAUCUUUACAUGAUAGUUGCAGACUAGUUGAUCCUUGUGACCUGUUUUUGAAUGCCACUGUGUAUUCUGUCAGGGCCCUCUGAUUCUGUUUCUUAUGGUGCUGAAUGCACAAUUUAAUGCCCUGGAAUUUCCUUCUGUCUUCUGCUAAACUCAUGCCUCUUCAGAUAGUUAAAAUCCUGUUCUACCUUAGAAGUCUCCAGAGUUAUUUUCCUAAAUUAAGAAGAACUGGCUUUGAAGUUACUCAUUAUGCCACACACAAUGGUUGAAAAGAGCAUCUCUUAUGUACUGUGUAUAUUUCAGCAUCCACUCAGCUUCUUAGGUAGAAAAGGAAGAGUCUUCCACAGUGUAUUUUAUCCAUAUUUGGGUCAGAAACUCUUCUUUACCACGGAGCGUGAUGGAAGAAAGAUAUGGGAUGGUAACAGUAGGCCAGGGAUGUAAUAAUCACAAAAUUUGAGAUAUUUUGUGACUGGUGACUCACGCCUGUGAUCCCAGCAUUUUGGGAGGCCAAAGCGGGCGGAUCACCUGAGGUCAGGAGUUCAAGACCAGCUUGGCCAAUGUAGUGAAACCUCAUCUCUACUAAAAAAAUAUAAAAAUUAGCUGGGUGUGGUGGUGCACACCUGUAAUCCUAGCUACUCAGGAGGCUGAGGCAGGAGAAUAGCUUGAACCAAGGAGGUGGAGGUUGCAGUGAGCUGAGAUUGUGCCACCACUGCAUUCCAGUCUGGGUGACAGAGCGAGACUCUGUCUCAAAAAAAAAAAAAAAAAAAAUCUAGAAAAAGAUCUCCAAGAUUCAAUCAUCUAAUUAUUUCUUUUAAAAAUGAGAAAAAUGACUCCUGGUCAGCUUUUACCUUCUUUUUCCAACUGUCUUGACAAUACUUUCAUAUUGGGCUUUUAAAGUCUCAAGUAAUAGGUUUUUAAAACCUCAGCUGAUAAAAGUAUAAAAAUAAAGUUAAAACAUAUUAAAGACAAAACCCAAGAAUCAGCUUCCUCUUCCUUCAUUACUCUUGCAUGGGUGUUGGCUCUAAUUUCUCCAUCUAGUUAGGCAGUCCUUUGCUUUUUAUUGCUUGUUUAUUGAUGACAUUUGCCAUUUGUAGCAAUAGUAAUAGAAUCAUCUAUAUAUUUGUGGCCUUGUUGAAUGUAGAAAAAGGAUAGUGGCAUUUUCUAAUUGUGUAACCCUAUAACACCUUGACGGGGGACUACAGUUCAUAUGCUGGACCUUUUGUGUUUGUUCAUGGCGGGUGGGUUGCUUUAAUAUACUUAGCACAUUGUCCUAAUUGCCAUCCUUUUGGGGAGGGCUAUAUAUCCAAGCUAAUAUGGUAGCAUUUUUGUUUUAACAUAGAGCUGACCCAAGGUAGACGUAAGUGUUGUUCAUUUUUGCCUAAUACUAAUAAAAUUACCUAAUUGUUGAAGCUUGGAGCUUGAAUCUAGGCAUUUUAUUUCAUUUCAAGUACACCCUAGUAUUUUAAAGCAUAAAUAUCCUACUAUCCUCAACAACUUUAGAACAAAAAUAAAUAUUUUAACAAGAAAAAAGCAUGCCAUGACAAGCUGUAACUUAGUAAAGAAAGACAAGGAAUGGUCUCUAUAGACCGAGAAAAAAUAGGUCCUCAGAUAUAUUUAUACCAAAGGAAUGUUAUGAAUGUAAAAAACAGUUUGACUCCCCCCCCCCCGCCAAAAAAAAACUCCACAACCCUAUAUUUUGUUAUCACAAGACUGUUUUAGUGAAUAAAACAGUAUGAAUUGGUUUUACCUGUUUCCAUUUAAUACUUAUUAACUUUAUAAUCGUAUAGCCUGAGGGUUUUAACUUCAAGUACAGCAUGAUGACUAUAAUAGUUUUACACAAGGCAAAUGUGAAAAACAGAAGUAAUUUCUUUUAAAAAGUGUGAAAUAUCUAAAAGGUAUGACUUCAAUACAUCAACUCAGGUGAGACAGACAUGUAACUUCUUUUUCCAUGUUUAAACCUAAUAUUGCUUUUGUGCCUCUGAAGGCUCGGAGUUUCCAUGCCUUCUUAGGACAUGCCACCCUCUCCACACCUGGAUGUGUUCACCAACCCAGAAGCUCUUGGAACCCCAUCAUUUGGGGUUUUUAUGGAGUCCCCAUUAAGUAGGUAUGACUGAUUAAAUCACUGGCCAUUGGUGGUUGACUCAAUCUCCAGCCUCUCUUCCCUCUCUGAAGGUGAAGGGGUGGGAAGGUGAGGCUAAGUUCCAACCCUCGGAUCACAGGGUUGGUUCCUCUGCAACCAGGCUUCAUCGUGAAACAAUACAGGGCCCACCGAGAGUCACCCCAUUAGCAAACUCAGAUGUGAUUGAAAGGGGCUUAUUAUGAAUAUCAAAAGACAUUUCUCUUUCUCCUAUUACUCAGACAGUUACAAGGGUUUCAGAAGCUCUUGCACCAGGAACUGGGAACAAAGACCAAAUAUAUAUGUCUUCUUCUAUUACAAUGUCACAGGUGUGACAGAGUAGGUAAAUGGAGUCUCAGAGAGUCCCCAGAGUAUUCCAUGGAGCCACAAAAUGAAGAAUAAAUGGAUGGUUCUCCCCAUGAUCAAAAGUGGCCUGAAAAUACUUGAGAAUGAGUCAUAACUUAAAAGGCUGUAUAGUAGAAAAGAAUGCACAGAGGACCGAAUGUAAAAGAAGGCACCCCAGUCUCAGCUAGUGUGGAUGCAUGCCAGUGUAGAAAGAUGCUAGUGUGGCUACAUUGGUGCACUGAAGACCAAACUCCUGCAUGGCCCCACAUCCUUGAUACCUUAGAUCUAUAUCAUCCCCUAAAACUUAGGUGUUAUGACAUUCAGGAUAUGCUACCCCAUCAUUUUUUAGGCUGAAGGAAUUUGAGAAAACAGAAGCAGGAAUGUAAUUGCCCAGUGGGUUCUUCCUGCCCUGUGCACAGACAAAACCAGUUCACUGAGACCAUGGUAUUGCAGUUAAGAAAGAGUUUAACAGGAGGCUGGCCACAUGGAAGAAUUACAGUUAUUACAAAUUAGUCUCCCUGAAGGCUCAGAGGUCAGGGUUUUUCAUGGAUAGUUCGGUGAGCAGUGGAUUAGGGGUAAGUGCUGCUGAUUGGUUGGGGAUACAAUCAUAGGGGUGUGGAAAAUGGUCCUUGUGUGCUGAGUCACCUCUGGGUGGGAGGCCAUGGGACCCAUUGAGUCAUGAGUCACGAGGCUGGGUUGGGUCAGUGUGAAAAACAUCUCAAAAGACCAAUCUUAGGUUCAAAAUAGGUGAUAUUACCUGUAGGAGCAAUUGGGAAAGUUAUAAAUUAUAUGACCUCUUGGCCCCAUGACUUCUGAGCAGUAAGAGAUGAUAGAAACUAAACCUACAUUUUAUCAGCACUCAGGCCUCUUCCAUAAUCCUAAUCUUGUGGCCUUUCGUUAGUCUUAUAAAGGUGGUUUGGUAACUGCCCUCAAGCAAGGAGGGGAUCAGUUUUAGGGAGGUGCUAUUAUCAUCCUUGCUUCAAAGUUAAGCUGUAAACUAAAUUCCUCCCAUAAUUAGCUUGGCCUACACCCAGAAAUGAGCAAAGACAGCCAGCCUGUGAUGUUAGAAGCAAGAUGGAGUUAGUCAUGUUAGAUUUCUCUCACUGUCAUAAUCUUUGCAAGGGAGGUUCCAGGAAGGUCAUCCUACCUUUCCCCUCACCCUUCUCAUGUGACACAGGUCAUAAAGCCUAGGAAGGAUUUUCCGACCUUUCCCUGAAGCAGGUCGUAAGACCCUCAUUGGGGAGGUGCCAUUUCUAGACCAAGAGAAAAGGCACAUCCUUAUGUCUGAAGACACAGGGACACAGAGAAGAAUCUGAACAAACAGGUCUUGCUAAGUUCCCCCCAGUUUGUUUUCAUUAGAUCAUGCCCCUUUAUUCAAUGCUGUUUCUCCACAACUAUCCAUUUCUUCAUCAAGCCUAGCAUAAAAAAUACAGGUUUCACGGUUUCUUUGGGUCUUCAUUUCCUUAUAAAGUCUCCUGUACCAUGUAAAACUUAAAUAAGUUUCUCUGCUUUUCUCUUGUUGAUUCUGUCCUUUGUUUUAUAACCCUCAGACAUGAACCUAGUGAUGAGUGAGGGGAAGAUAAUUUAUUUUCCUCUACAGAUGCAAAAGGGAAAAGGGAACAAUCCCUAAACGGAAGUUAUGAUCCAGGGAUCAGAGGCUCAAAAGCAAGAUUAGGUUUAAAUGUAGAAAAAUACAUUCCUCUUUCAUUUUAGAUAUCCCAAAUGCCCAAAUCAACCCAGCUAUUUCUCAGAAGUCUGUUUCCCCUCCACCCUCUGCUCCUCUGUGUAGUGAAACUGUCUCGUUUGGGAGUAAAAUGGCCUGGCUUUCCUUACUGAGUAUACUCUCAAGACUAUUGCCUAUUACUUUUUUCCAUUCCUUCUUGAGAACUACGCUUUUUAAAACAAGAAUUGACUCCAUUUAUCUUUUUCUUUUAGCCUUCUGCUGGGGUAUGCCUUCUCUAAAGCAAUGAAUAAAAAAUGCUUUAGCUGAAUAAAUGGGGCAAGGAUCAAGGAGUACAAGCUAAUAUUUCACAAUAUUAUCCUGCCAUAAAUAAAAGUAUGGUUUAAAUGACAAUGGUGGGGUUAGGAGUUACAGGUCACUGAAACACCACCUUAUUCAUGCUACCAGCCCCUUGGCUUUCCUGAUGGCAGCAGGGAAGCAACACAUAGGUAGAAUUAUGAGCCAACAUCGUGACUGGAGAGGGAUUGAAAAUCUUAUUUGUUGUCUUCCUAGACUAUUACAGUUAUCUGUUGAAAUUAGACUCAAUUCUUUGGCGAAAGUACUCAUUUUUAAGGUCCAUAAUAAAUUGUAACUAUGUAGCCUUUGUUGCAUGAGUUUAGUAUGAGCUGAUUGGUGGGCCACAGUGAAAGGCAGAGGGAAAUGGAUGUUAACUAAGAGGUAGAAGUCCCCUUGAAGUUCUGACCCUGUCACUAAUGAAGUCUUUAUUUCCGUAUUUAGUAAUUGCCUUUUUUUUUUUUUUUUGAGACAGAGUCUUGCUCUGUCGCCAGGAUGGGGUACAGUGGCACAGUAUCUGCUCACUGCAACCUCCGCCUCCCAGGUUCAAGCAGUUCCCCUGCCUCAGCUUCCUGAAUAGCUGGGACUACAGGUGUCUGCCGCCAUGCCUGGCUAAUUUUUGUAUUUUUAGUAGAGACGGGGUUUCACUAUGUUGGCCAGGAUGGUCUCGAUCUCCUGACCUCGUGAUCUGCCCACCUCAGCCUCCCAAAGCUAGGAUUACAGACGUGAGCCACCAUGCCCGGCCAACUGCCUUCUUUAUAUCUCAUUUUAAAAAUUUAUAACAAAGAAGUGGGUUGAUUUUCAAGACCUAGUUGUGUUAGUUUGAAUGAGAUGCAUACAUUUGGCAAGUCUGGGGUCUAAGAAAAGAUAAAGAUCUGAAUGCUGAAAAUCUAGAGAAUUCAGGUUACUGGGGGAUAACUUAAAGUCACUAGGGAAUUCGGGUUACUGGGGGGAUAACUUAAGGUCACUAGGGAAUUCGGGUUACUGGGGGGAUAACUUAAGGUCACUAGAACCCAAAUGCAGGGAAGAGUUGGGUGCUCUUUGGCAAAUAAACAUUCCUGACUUAGCAUUUUUCUUAAACCCGAACGUGCCAGCUGUUUUUUUGUUUUUUUGUUUUUUUGUUUUGUGACCUCAGCCAGGCUUGCGUGUUUAUUCAUCACAUAUUCUAAGCUCAUAUACAACUGUGACCUGAUCCAGCCUUCAAGGAACUCACUCUUGAUUUUAGGAAUCUUUCCACCACUUCGAUUUCAUCUUACUCCUGAAACAGUCAGCCAGAACUGUCUAAUUCAGUCUAUACUUCUGAUACAAAACUCUACCCAGCAACCACUAUGGUUUUGUUGCUUUAGGUACGUGUUAGAAAGCACCCACAUCAAUUUACAGAAAAUCCUUAACUGAAUCUCUAGUCCCAGAGGAGUCAUAUUUUAUUAUAUGGUGCUUUUUAUUUAAAGAGAUCGGUUUAAUAGAAAUUACUCAGGCAUUUGAAGUGAUAGCUUUAAAAUGUGGGACUGGGGAAAAUAAGAACACUUGACCUCUCUCCAUAAAAUUGAAUUGUUCUUUAGGUUUAAAGUUUUGACAGACAAAGAGAAAGUGAGAGCAAGUGAGGGUGAAAAUAUAUCCUUAUUUGGUAAUGAGUACCCAUUAAGAGGACAGUAUAUUACAUUUCAUCUUCUUACUUCACAUUCCUGUUUUAAGGAUUUGUGAGCAAAGUGCUGUGAGACCUCUAGAGUUAAGAGGCUGGAGAUAGGUAGUUUUGAUGGUAUUUUAAGGAGUGCUCCAUAAUGUGUAGUGUCUGAGUGCUGAAGCUUAAUCAGCUUCAAUUAAAUCCAAAACAUACUGAAUAGCUCCUAUGUGUCUGGCAUUGAGCUGUGUGCCAAAGUGGUGGAAAGAUGUAAGAGCCACUGAGGCUUAGAGAUGAAAAGGAUCUUGGAGCCACUGGUUUCCUGCCUGCUGGAGUUUCACCAUCAAGGACCCUUUCGUUAUUUUCCUUCUCCCAUGCAUUUUAUUAAAAUUUUUGGUUUAGUAAACCAAAUUCACUAAUGGGAUGUUAUUUUCAUAUCAAAGAGUAUAAUUCUGCCAAUCAAGGCUUCUGAUCAGCAUAAAAUAAUUAGGUUUCAUACUGAAUGCACAAAUUCUAGUCAAAAGCAAAGCCAUUUGAUGACAUGUCUGCUAUGUUGCCAUUUGCUUUAAGAGAGGUAAAGGUAGCCUGACUUCUGUUCACUCUGUAGUACAGAAUACAUUGUUAACAAGUCAUAGGUAUGUUCUUUUAGGUUUCUAAUUACUGUCAGCCUCUCAUUUCAGACAGGUGAUGUGAUAAGGUGAAAUGAUUACUAUAUUUAGACUCAAAAGUCCUGAGUUUGAGUCCUCGUUUAACGAUCUAGUCCAUGAGCUUCAGUUUUCUCACCUGUUAAAUGGAAAUGAUGAUUAUUUCCUGGAAAUUGCAUUUCCAGGUUGUUUUGAAUGAUAAAUGAUAUGGUGUAUAUAUCAGCUGUUUGCAAACCAGAAAAAGCUAUUCUAUGGUAAACACAUGCAGUGGGCUGAAUUGUGUCUCCCAAAAUUCAUAUGUUGAAGUCCUCACCCCCAGGGCCUCAGAAUGUGACUGUAUUUGGAUCUAGGGUCUUCAAGAGAUAACUAAGUUAGAAUGAGGUCAUUUGGGUUGAUCCUAAUCCAACUGACUGAUAUCCUUAUAAGACGACGAAAUUUGGAUACAGAAAUACACAGAAGACAGGGAGAAGAUGGCCAUCUACAAGCUAAGGAGAGAGGCCUCAGAAGAAACACACCUGCCACACCUUGAAUUUGGACUUCUAGCCAUCAGAACUGUGGGAAAAUAAAUUUCUGUUGUUUAAGCCAGGAGUCCUCAACCCCCGGGCUGUGGACCUGUACCAGUCGGUGGCAUGUUAAGGACUGGGCUCCACAGCAGGAGGUGAGUGGUGGGCGAGUGAGCAUUACUGCCUGAGCUCCACCUCCCGUCAGAUCAGCAGUGGCAUUAGAUUCUCAUAGGAGCACAAACCCUAUUGUAAACUGAGCACGCAAGGGAUCUAGGUUGUGCGCUCCUUACGAGAAUCUAAUGCCUGAUAAUCUGAGAUUGAACAGUUUUAUCCCCAAACCAUCCCCUCCACCACCCCCGUGGUCUGUGGAAAAAUUGUCUUCCACAAAACUGGUCCCUGGUGCCGAAAAGGUUAGGGACCAGCGGCUCAAGCCACCCAGCCUGUGGUACUUUGUUACGGUAGCCCUGGCAAAUGAAUACAACACGUUUUAGACUAUGAUGUUACACAUGCAGUGUGUUGAGAGCCAAAGAACCCAAAUGAUUCGUGGUAUCUGCCCUUGAAGAGUUUUUAAUCUUUUUGGGCAUGAUGAAACAUACACAUGGAAAAUAAAAUAGCAUAUAACCAAGUGCCCAAAUCAGUAAUAAAUACAGUUGACUCCAUAAACAUUUAGGAACCUUCUAUCCCAUGUUUCCACAUUCUAUCCCAGUGGCUUUUGCCACUAAAUUUCUUCACCCACUAUUAGACUGAUGUUUUCAUCUUUCAGUAUCAGACUCAAGCUUUAAUCUAGAAAGAGGGGGUGGGGGGAUAAAUGCUAUACUUUGGAACCAGUCCGGAUAUUUUAAGUAUGUUUUUAAAAAGUAUAAUCCUCACAACAUGAAAGUUAUUAGUUCUAUUUUUCAGGUGAGAAGAGUUAAGGUCAAACAGACGAAAGCUAGUUAGUGGAGGGACUGGUAUUCCAAGCCCAUUCUGGUUAAACUAAAUCUUGUGUUCUUUCCACUAGAAAACUGCUUUUUGUCUUAAUUAUAAUUUUGUGACAAGGAUGUAUAGUCCAUUAAGGAAUAUAUACAACAGAAGAAGCAUUUAAGUGGACUUGAGGUUUGUGAAUCUGAACUAGUUUCUAUCGACUUUCACAUCAGCAGCUCCUAUUCUGGGGAAAGAGAAUGGAGGCUGGGAGUGAUCCUGACAAACCUUGAUGUGCAGGCUUGUGGAGAAACUGGAUUCACACCCAGGCUCGUGGAGUGUGGGAGAGGCUGGCCUGUCACAAUAUCAGGACAGCCUCUCUUAAUAACACUGCAGAAGGAAUCGAGGGCCCUGUGGUUUGCGUUUGUUAGACUUUGGAUGGUGGAGACCUGUGCCUGCUACUUCUCUCAUCUCCUGAUACCUAAUGCAUAGUGUUCAGUAAGUAUUUAUUUGGUGAUAACAAUAUCAAAAACUAGAUAAUGCUUAGAAGAUCCAACACCUUCCAAAAUCUCUGUUAACCAGGUACUGAAAUAUGGUCAACCAGAUGAGCUGAAAUGUCAAGAACUUAUAGACACACAUGGUUUCAUGGUUGUGAAACUAGAAGAUGUGGCAUAUUUUACACAAUGGAGGGAAGAGCAAAGGUUAUGCAUGUGCGGAGGCAGAGCCCCUAGGCAGGUUUCCCUCUUUUCCUUCCUGUGCACUGAUUUUUAUUUUGGUGAACUGAAACAGGGGUCUAACAAACUGGUAUCUCAUUUGUCUUUAUAAACAGAACUGCCAGAUUGGCUUUGCAAUUCAGGGCCCUGUAGGGUGCCCACCUCCUCAGUUUGGGCAGCAGCAUUACAUCUGAGUCUUAGAAUAAAAAUGGAAAGCAAUGGCUCAACCCAUUGGUUUGUCACCAUCCACAUGAAGGAUCUCUAUUGGUAAAAAAACAGACUCCCGUGUUCAAGGCCCUGGGGCUGGAAUCAAAUCCAUCAUUCAUUUAUUUCGGUUUUUUAAGGCUAAAUACAUAGGGAAGAAAAUGAAAUGUGAGAAAGCUGUGCAUUUUCAAUGUCAUCUUGAAAGUGAGUAUCUUUAGACACAUAAAGUAGAUGAGUGGUUAACUUGGGCUGGGAGAGGGAGUGAGGAGUGGUUGUACAUGGCACAAGGUUUCUAUUUAGUGUGAUUGAAAUGUUCUAUAAUUUGAUUGAUGAUUGUACAGUUCUGUAAAUAAACUAAAAUGUAUUGAAUUGUAUAAUUAAAACAUGCAGAUUUUAUAUUUAAAAUAUACUUUGAUAAAAGUGUUUUAAAAAUGAAUAUCUCAUAGGGUAGAAUGAAAUGAAUAAGAGAAACAGUGAGGCAUCCAGGGGACUUUCUGCACAGUGGGUCUGUCAUUAGGCAGGUACGUUGCCACAGCCAGUUCUAAUGCCCACUCAUAGGCCAAUGCCUAGGACAAUUGCUCAGAUAUCGCCUCUGACAGGCAAGUGUUCCAUCAGUAACAGCAGGCAUCGGAAGAUGAUGCCAUUCCCUGCUGUUAGUAUGAUUAUAUUGACUUAGGUUUUUAAUUUUCUUUCUUGCUGUGUUUUUUUUUUUUCACCUUCUUAGCCUCUAAAGCAUGAACAUCUGUGUUUUUCAG